GACCUGCGGAGGGAUCAUUACAAGUGACCCCGGUCUAACCACCGGGAUGUUCAUAACCCUUUGUUGUCCGACUCUGUUGCCUCCGGGGCGACCCUGCCUUCGGGCGGGGGCUCCGGGUGGACACUUCAAACUCUUGCGUAACUUUGCAGUCUGAGUAAACUUAAUUAAUAAAUUAAAACUUUUAACAACGGAUCUCUUGGUUCUGGCAUCGAUGAAGAACGCAGCGAAAUGCGAUAAGUAAUGUGAAUUGCAGAAUUCAGUGAAUCAUCGAAUCUUUGAACGCACAUUGCGCCCCCUGGUAUUCCGGGGGGCAUGCCUGUUCGAGCGUCAUUUCACCACUCAAGCCUCGCUUGGUAUUGGGCAACGCGGUCCGCCGCGUGCCUCAAAUCGACCGGCUGGGUCUUCUGUCCCCUAAGCGUUGUGGAAACUAUUCGCUAAAGGGUGUUCGGGAGGCUACGCCGUAAAACAACCCCAUUUCUAAGGUUGACCUCGGAUCAGGUAGGGAUACCCGCUGAACUCAAGCAUAUCAAUAAGCGGAGGA
rnacentral:rRNA from 1 species